GGUGAACGCUGGCGGCGUGCUUAAGACAUGCAAGUCGAACGGCAGUCUUCGGACUGUAGUGGCGCACGGGUGAGUAACGCGUAACUGACCUACCCCAAAGUCGCGGAUAACGAUUCGAAAGAAUCGCUAAUACGUGAUGUGCCGUCCGAUUGUGUUGUGCCAGUAAAGGUUGAUUGAUUUGGGAUGGGGUUGCGUUCCAUCAGCUAGUUGGUGGGGUAAAGGCCCACCAAGGCGAAGACGGAUAGCCGGCCUGAGAGGGAGGCCGGCCACAGGGGCACUGAGACACGGGUCCCACUCCUACGGGAGGCAGCAGUUAGGAAUCUUCCACAAUGGGCGAAAGCCUGAUGGAGCGACGCCGCGUGAGGGAUGAAGGUCUUCGGAUCGUAAACCUCUGAAUCAGGGACGAAAGACACUUCGGUGGGAUGACGGUACCUGAGUAAUAGCACCGGCUAACUCCGUGCCAGCCGCCGCCGUAAUAC
rnacentral:rRNA from 1 species